rnacentral:rRNA from 1 species
AUUGAACGCUGGCGGAAUGCUUUACACAUGCAAGUCGAACGGCAGCACGGACUUCGAUCUGGUGGCGAGUGGCGAACGGGUGAGUAAUGUAUCGGAACGUGCCCAGUCGUGGGGGAUAACGUAGUGAAAAUUACGCUAAUACCGCAUACGAUAUAUGGAUGAAAGCGGGGGAUCGCAAGACCUCGCGCGAGUGGAGCGGCCGAUAUCAGAUUAGGUAGUUGGUGGGGUAAAGGCCCACCAAGCCAACGAUCUGUAGCUGGUCUGAGAGGACGACCAGCCACACUGGAACUGAGACACGGUCCAGACUCCUACGGGAGGCAGCAGUGGGGAAUUUUGGACAAUGGGCGAAAGCCUGAUCCAGCCAUUCCGCGUGCAGGAUGAAGGCCCUCGGGUUGUAAACUGCUUUUGUACGGAACGAAAAGGUCUCUCUUAAUACGGGGGGCUCAUGACGGUACCGUAAGAAUAAGCACCGGCUAACUACGUGCCAGCCGCCGCAGUAA